CUCUGCCACUGAUAACUCCUCAUUUCCAUCAUCUGGCUUGAGUCAGAAAGGUGUUUGUUGCCUUCUUUUUCCAAACUGUGGUGACUGUAAGGGACUUGUGGGAUAGUUGGACUAUACUGAGAAAGCUGACACUUAGAGGAUGGCACCUCACAUGUUCCUUCUCCUGUUAGCAGGUCUAAUAGGAGCAGCAACAGCACACAAUGAUAAUACAACAGAAUCAGGCAACCUAACAACUAUAUUACCAGAGACCAUGGACUCAACACAAAA